UACGUAGGGCGCAAGCGUUAUCCGGAAUUAUUGGGCGUAAAGAGCUCGUAGGCGGUUUGUCGCGUCUGCCGUGAAAGUCCGGGGGCUCAACUCCGGAUCUGCGGUGGGUACGGGGCAGACUAGAGUGAUGUAGGGGGAGACUGGAAUUCCUGGUGUAGCGGUGAAAUGCGCAGAUAUCAGGAGGAACACCGAUGGCGAAGGCAGGUCUCUGGGCAUUAACUGACGCUGAGGAGCGAAAGCAUGGGGAGCGAACAGG
rnacentral:rRNA from 1 species